rnacentral:rRNA from 1 species
GUGGGGGACCUUCGGGCCUCAUGCCAUCAGAUGUGCCCAGAUGGGAUUAGCUAGUAGGUGGGGUAACGGCUCACCUAGGCGACGAUCCCUAGCUGGUCUGAGAGGAUGACCAGCCACACUGGAACUGAGACACGGUCCAGACUCCUACGGGAGGCAGCAGUGGGGAAUAUUGCACAAUGGGCGCAAGCCUGAUGCAGCCAUGCCGCGUGUGUGAAGAAGGCCUUCGGGUUGUAAAGCACUUUCAGCGGGGAGGAAGGCG